UACAGAGGUGGCAAGCGUUGUUCGGAAUUACUGGGCGUAAAGGGCGCGUAGGCGGUUCGUUAAGUCCUGUGUGAAAUCCCCCGGCUCAACUGGGGAACUGCACAGGAAACUAGCGGGCUUGAGUUCGGGAGAGGCGAGUGGAAUUCCUGGUGUAGCGGUGAAAUGCGCAGAUAUCAGGAGGAACACCCAUUGCGAAGGCAGCUCGCUGGGACGUUACUGACGCUGAGACGCGAAAGCGUGGGGAGCGAACAGG
rnacentral:rRNA from 1 species